rnacentral:rRNA from 1 species
AGUGGCGGACGGGUGAGUAACGCGUGAGGAACCUGCCUUGUACUGGGGGACAACAGUUGGAAACGACUGCUAAUACCGCAUAAGCGCACAGCUUCGCAUGAAGCGGUGUGAAAAACUCCGGUGGUACAAGAUGGACCCGCGUCUGAUUAGCUGGUUGGUGAGGUAACGGCCCACCAAGGCGACGAUCAGUAGCCGGCCUGAGAGGGUGAACGGCCACAUUGGGACUGAGACACGGCCCAAACUCC